GUAUAGGAUUGAAAAGCUCAUAGGUUGUUGAUAUAGGAUUGAAAAGCUUAUAGGUUGUUGAUAUAGGAUUGAAAAGCUCAUAGGUUGUUGAUAUAGGAUUGAAAAGCUCAUAGGUUGUUGAUAUAGGAUUGAAAAGCUCAUAGGUUGUUGAUAUAGGAUUGAAAAGCUUAUAGGUUGUUGAUAUAGGAUUGAAAAGCUCAUAGGUUGUUGAUAUAGGAUUGAAAAGCUUAUAGGUUGUUGAUAUAGGAUUGAAAAGCUCAUAGGUUGUUGAUAUAGGAUUGAAAAGCUCAUAGGUUGUUGAUAUAGGAUUGAAAAGCUUAUAGGUUGUUGAUAUAGGAUUGAAAAGCUCAUAGGUUGUUGAUAUAGGAUUGAAAAGCUCAUAGGUUGUUGAUAUAGGAUUGAAAAGCUCAUAGGUUGUUGAUAUAGGAUUGAAAAGCUCAUAGGUUGUUGAUAUAGGAUUGAAAAGCUCACAGGUU